CAGAAUCUAGGACUGGCGUUGCCCCCCAGCGGGGGCUCCGGUGUGGUGAUGGGUUUUCUUGCCUUGUUCACUAGCGAUGUCAAUAUGCCUUUUUAAAAACAGCUAACAUUUAUGGUGGGCCAUCUCCGUGCGCUAAAUGCCUUUCUUUGGUUAUGUCGUUUGGUUGUUUCAAUGACCCUGCGUGGUAGGUGGUUUCCCGUUUUCCAUAUAAGACCACGGGUUAAGUCACCCAAGGCCACACAGGUGGUGUGGAGCAGGGAUGAAAAAUCCAGGUCUUGCUGCCUCCACAACCCAAACUACUGUGUGCUUUCUGAGAAAUGACUUAAAAUGGAUACUCCAGAGUAUAAGAUAGGGAAAUGUGGGGACAAUUUCUUUUAAAAUAAAAGCAUUUCUAUGUAAUGCCGUUUUGUUUUGUUUUUUUUUCUUAAGGGUAGUAUUUAGUUUCACAGUGUUUGGGGACCUGUUUGAAGAGGAUUAUUCCAGUGUGCCAGAUAAUCAGUAUGGAAAAGGGAAGAAAUUAAAGACCAAAGCUUUGGAGGCACCUGCUCCUAGAGAAUUCACCAAUUUAAGCGGCAUCAGAAAUCAGGGUGGAACCUGUUACCUCGAUUCCCUUCUUCAGACUCUUCAUUUCACACCUGAAUUCAGAGAUAAAACAACAUUCAGUUUUGUGAAGGAGAAUAACUUAUGAGAAUCACUGAGAAAAUUUAGAAGAAAGAAUAGGUAGUAUUUAGUUUCACAAUGUUUGGGGACCUGUUUGAAGAGGAUUAUUCCAGUGUGUCAGAUAAUCAGUAUGGAAAAGGGAAGAAAUUAAAGACCAAAGCUUUGGAGGCACCUGCUCCUAGAGAAUUCACCAAUUUAAGCGGCAUCAGAAAUCGAGGUGGAACCUGUUACCUCAAUUCCCCUCUUCAGACUCUUCAUUUCACACCUGAAUUCAGAGAGCCAUUCUGAUGGAUUGGACUGCAUGUGGGAUUUCAGAGUGGUGUCUCUUGUCCUUGACUUCAUCCCCUCCGUAAAAAGAUAUCCCUGAUGCCUUCAGUAA